rnacentral:lncRNA from 1 species
GUGCAUAGUUCUAUUCUUUAAAACAUUUUUAAUUUGUUUUUUAAUAAAUGUUAAUUUUUUCGUCUUUAAUAAAAGCCAGCAUGAAAUAAUGUCAUUGAACAACACCAUUAAAUAUUGCUUCAUCAAAACAGCAACUGCAGUUUGCCAAAAACAGACACCAUGUGACGUAUUUAUGUGAUACAGGAGAACGCAAAUAAUAAUUAUGUUUUGUUAUUAAAUAAUAAAGUUUUGUUAAAAAAAAUAUUAUUAAAUAAAUUUGUGAUUUUGUAAUAAACGGAAGGGUCGGAUUUUAGAAGCAUGAAAUAUUUGAAAAUUUCUGUUUAAAA